GACGAACGCUUGCGGCGUGCUUAACACAUGCAAGUCGAACGGAAAGGCCCUGCUUUUGUGGGGUGCUCGAGUGGCGAACGGGUGAGUAACACGUGAGUAACCUGCCCUUGACUUUGGGAUAACUUCAGGAAACUGGGGCUAAUACCGGAUAGGAGCUCCUGCUGCAUGGUGGGGGUUGGAAAGUUUCGGCGGUUGGGGAUGGACUCGCGGCUUAUCAGCUUGUUGGUGGGGUAGUGGCUUACCAAGGCUUUGACGGGUAGCCGGCCUGAGAGGGUGACCGGCCACAUUGGGACUGAGAUACGGCCCAGACUCCUACGGGAGGCAGCAGUGGGGAAUAUUGCACAAUGGGCGGAAGCCUGAUGCAGCAACGCCGCGUGCGGGAUGACGGCCUUCGGGUUGUAAACCGCUUUCGCCUGUGACGAAGCGUGAGUGACGGUAAUGGGUAAAGAAGCACCGGCUAACUACGUGCCAGCAGCCGCGGUGAUACGUAGGGUGCGAGCGUUGUCCGGAUUUAUUGGGCGUAAAGGGCUCGUAGGUGGUUGAUCGCGUCGGAAGUGUAAUCUUGGGGCUUAACCCUGAGCGUGCUUUCGAUACGGGUUGACUUGAGGAAGGUAGGGGAGAAUGGAAUUCCUGGUGGAGCGGUGGAAUGCGCAGAUAUCAGGAGGAACACCAGUGGCGAAGGCGGUUCUCUGGGCCUUUCCUGACGCUGAGGAGCGAAAGCGUGGGGAGCGAACAGGCUUAGAUACCCUGGUAGUCCACGCUGUAAACGGUGGGUACUAGGUGUGGGGUCCAUUCCACGGGUUCCGUGCCGUAGCUAACGCUUUAAGUACCCCGCCUGGGGAGUACGGCCGCAAGGCUAAAACUCAAAGGAGUUGACGGGGCCCCGCACAAGCGGCGGAGCAUGCGGAUUAAUUCGAUGCAACGCGUAGAACCUUACCUGGGUUUGACAUGGAUCGGGAGUGCUCAGAGAUGGGUGUGCCUCUUUUGGGGUCGGUUCACAGGUGGUGCAUGCCUGUCGUCAGCUCGUGUCGUGAGAUGUUGGGUUAAGUCCCGCAACGAGCGCAACCCUUGUUCACUGUUGCCAGCACGUUAUGGUGGGGACUCAGUGGAGACCGCCGGGGUCAACUCGGAGGAAGGUGGGGAUGACGUCAAGUCCUCAUGCCCCUUAUGUCCAGGGCUUCACGCAUGCUACAAUGGCUGGUACAGAGAGUGGCGAGCCUGUGAGGGUGAGCGAAUCUCGGAAAGCCGGUCUCAGUUCGGAUUGGGGUCUGCAACUCGACCUCAUGAAGUCGGAGUCGCUAGUAAUCGCAGAUCAGCAACGCUGCGGUGAAUACGUUCCCGGG
rnacentral:rRNA from 1 species